rnacentral:tRNA from 1 species
UCAAGAAUUAGUUUAUUAAAAUAUUAGUUUUGGAGACUGAAGAUGAAUUUUUUUUAUUCUUGAU